rnacentral:lncRNA from 1 species
CACGCCUGUGGUCCCAGCACUUUGGGAGGCCGAGGUGGGCGGAUCACGAGGUCAGGAGAUCGAGACCAUCCUGGCUAACACAGUGAAACCCCGUCUCUACUAAACAUAUAAAAAAUUAGCCGGGCAUGGUGUCAGGUGCCUGUAGUCCCAGCUACUCAGGAGACUGAGGCAGGAGAAUGGCGUGAACCCAGGAGGCAGAGGUCGCAGGUCGCAGUGAGCCGAGAUUGCGCCACUGCACUCUAGCCUGG